UACGAAGGGGGCUAGCGUUGCUCGGAAUGACUGGGCGUAAAGCGCACGUAGGCGGCUUCGCAAGUCAGAGGUGAAAGCCUGGGGCUCAACCCCAGAAUUGCCUUUGAGACUGCGUCGCUCGAAUCCGGGAGAGGCGGGUGGAAUUCCGAGUGUAGAGGUGAAAUUCGUAGAUAUUCGGAAGAACACCAGUGGCGAAGGCGGCCCGCUGGACCGGCAUUGACGCUGAGGUGCGAAAGCGUGGGGAGCAAACAGG
rnacentral:rRNA from 1 species